rnacentral:rRNA from 1 species
UACGGGGGGGGCAAGCGUUGUUCGGAAUUACUGGGCGUAAAGGGCUCGUAGGUGGCCAACUAAGUCAGACGUGAAAUCCCUCGGCUUAACCGGGGAACUGCGUCUGAUACUGGACGGCUUGAGUUCGGGAGAGGGAUGCGGAAUUCCAGGUGUAGCGGUGAAAUGCGUAGAUAUCUGGAGGAACACCGGUGGCGAAGGCGGCAUCCUGGACCGACACUGACACUGAGGAGCGAAAGCCAGGGGAGCAAACGGG